CCGAAUUACUAAUUCCAAAUUCUCAGGAACAAACAGAUUUGCUUAAAAAUUAACAUCCCUCCCUAUCAGAAUAUUUUGUACCUAGUACUCAAACAAACAAGGCUUUAUAACACGAAACAGAUGUUACUAAGACCGAAAGUCUCCCCUUGCCGGGGAGUGUGUGGCUCUGUACAAUCCUGACCUCCUGCCAGGCCCUACCUCCUGGGCCUGUCCCGCCUCAUCUCCCUUUUCUGGAACCGAAGCCCCAAGGACGGCGGGCCUUUGCUCUCCCCAUCCACACGGGCUGGUGGCCACAGCCGCUGGAGACAGCGGCACCUGACAGCCUCCUUCCCGGGGGGCACUCAGCGCGGGUGGAUGACCCCUUGCUGGGUCUCCCUCUGAGCAGGACGGGGGACAGAAGUGGUCCCAGGAGAUCGCGCAGGGGCUGCUCCCAGCCCUGGCCUCGGCCUCAACCCCCACCCCUGUGGUCCUCUAAGAACCUUCCCCGCGGUCCCCGCCCCGUCCCGUCCCACCCUCUGCUCUGCAAGUGCUGGGUGCUGCCCCGCCCGCUCCAACCUCCUUCUCCCCGGCGCUGGUCGGGUCGGUCUGGAGGGCCAGGUCUGACCGUGAGGCGUUGGCGUUGGCCGGACUGGCUGCGCCGGACGUGGGGCCGCCUCCAUCCAGUCAAGGCGGAGCCGGCAGCCAGCGGCCAGGGGCUGGAGGCCCAGGCGCUUCCAGCCAUGGGCAGGGGCUCGCUGAGAGCUCCGGGAUUGGCGGUGCCGCGGUGGCUGCUGUCACUACUGCUGCUGUCUCGGGGGCCAGUGUCUGGCGCUUGGUUGCUUCCAGGAAAUACUUCUGGAGAGCCAGUCACCACCCCCUGGGUCCUGGAUGGACAACCCUGGCUCACCAUCGUCCUGAAAGAGCCGAUCUCGACACUAGACUCAGGCCUGGUGGCCUUGGAAGCUGAAGGCCAGGAGUUCCUGCUUGAGCUGGAGAAGAACCACAGGCUGCUGGCUGCUGGUUACACAGAAACCCACUAUAGCCAAGAUGGCCAGCCAGUGGUGCUGGUCCCCAACCACAUGGGCGAGACACUUCUGUGGGCUCUGAGGACAGGGUGAGGGUGCUGGGGAUGGCACCUGGGAUAGCUCCUCACGAUCCCUACCCCAACCCUCCAACUCCGUUCCUAGGGGAAGUUGGAGCCACCCCUCCCCUCCCCUUCCUGCUCCCGUUCCCUCUUGGCUUCUGCCCUGGCUGAGGUUUGGGCUCAGGUUCCUUCCUCUCCAGGACCACUGUCACUACCACGGAGAGUGAGGGGCUUCCCCAACUCUUCGGUUAUGCUCAGCACCUGCUCUGGGAUGAGGGGCUUGAUCAGGCUCAACAGCAAUGCCAGCUAUUACCUGCAGCCCCUGGCCACCUGGAGACCCAGAGGACCUCUCAACCCACAGGACUUUCCGGAUGGAGAGGCUGCUCACCUGGAAAGGGACCUGCCAGCUACAGUGACCCCCGAGGACAAAGGGGGCAUGGCCAGGCUUCGUCCUGCCCCUCAGAGCAGGGAGAGGCGAGAAGCCCCCAGGGGCCAGAGGUACCUGGAGCUAUACGUAGUAGCCGACCACCCCCUGUACUUGACCCAGCACCGGAACUUGAACCAUACCAAAGAGCGCGUCUCCUGGAGGUUGCCAGUUAUGCAGACCAGAUCCUCAGGACGCUGGACAUCCAGGUGGUGCUGACAGGCCUGGAAGUGUGGACAGAGCAAGACCACAGCCGCGUCACACCCACGCCUGGCAACGCCACGCUCUGGGACUUCCUGAAGUGGCGCGGGGGCUGUGGGCACGGCUGGCCGCACGACUCGCGCGCAGCUACUCACGGGCUGCACCUUCCGGGGCGCCACUGUGGGCCUGGCGCCCGUCGAGGGCAUGUGUCGCGCAGAGAGGCUCGGGCGGUGUGAGCACGGACCACUCGGAGCUCCCCACCGGCGCUGCGGCCACCAUGGCCCAUGAGAUCGCCACAGCCUGGGCCUCAGCCACGACCUCGAUGGCUGCUGCGUGGAGGUCGCGGCAGAGCAAGGCGGCUGCAUCAUGGCCGCCGCCACGGGUACUCGCGGGCUAGGGCGGGGCCUAGGCUUAUUCCUCUGCGUGCUGCUUCACGUUAUCCCUCAGUUUCUCUUUUGUAAAAUGGUGGUGGUGACAACCACUUGUCCUCAUGGUUGUUUAUGAGGCCUCAGUGGAAGAAACGCAGGUAAAGUGGAUUCUCACGAGUAUGAAGAUUUUGAGAAAAACCUAGCAAGGUUGCUCCAACGCCGGAGCAAACGGCACGCGUAGGGCUGCGGUGUGGCUAACGCCAGGCCUGAGAAUCCAGGCUGAGUGCGGGCUGGGGUGUCCUGCGCUCCCGACGCCUCCCCCCCGCCCCUAGGCACCCGUUCCCGCGCCUCUUCAGCGCCUGCAGCCGCCGCCAACUGCGGGCCUUCUUCCGCAAGGGGGGCGGCGCGUGCCUCUACAACGCCCCAGACCCCGGGCUUCAGAUCCCGCCCACGCGCUGCGGGAACGGCUUCGUGGAAGCGGGCGAGGAGUGCGACUGCGGCUCUGAGCAGGUCAGGUCCGCCUGCCCGACCUCUGGGGACCGAGCCUGGCCCUCCUCCAGCGGUCAGGGGCGCGGUGCCCGCAUCUGUUCCAGUUUCACUUUUCUGGCCCCAGAAGUGCCCAGACCCCUGUUGCUUCGCCCACAACUGCUCGUUACAUGCGGGGGCCCAGUGUGCCCACGGGGACUGCUGCGCGCGCUGCCUGCUGAAGCCAGCUGGCUCGCCGUGCCGCCAGGCUGCAGGAGACUGUGACCUCCCUGAGUUCUGCACUGGCUCUUCCCCCACUGUCCCCCGGAUGUUUACCUGCUGGACGGCUUGCCCUGCGCGGGAGGCCAAGGCUACUGCCUGGAUGGCGCGUGUCCCACGCUGGAGCAGCAGUGCGCACAGCUCUGGGGGCCUGGCUCCCGCCCAGCCCCCGAGGCCUGUUUCCAGCUGGUGAACCCCGCGGGAGACGCCACUGGGAAUUGCGGCCAGGAUGGCUCUGGCCGCUUCCUGCCUUGUGCUCAGAGGGACACUCAGUGCGGGAAGCUGCAGUGCCAGGGCGGGGAGCCCAGCCCCCUAGUGCCACACAUCUUGCCUGUGGAGUCCACACUUCACUUAGACGGCCACCAGGUGGCUUGUCGUGCAGCUCUGGUGAUCCCCGAUGCCCAGCUGGACUUGCUGGACUUGGGCCUGGUAGAGCCCGGCACCCAGUGUGGUCCUAGAAUGGUGUGCCAGGACAGGCGCUGCCAGAACACUUCCUCCCAGGAGCUGGAGCGCUGCCUAACUACCUGCCACAACCAUGGGGUUUGCAAUAGCAACCAUAACUGCCACUGCUCUCCAGGCUGGGCUCCACCCUUCUGUGACAAGCCGGGUUCGGUGGCAGUGUGGACAGUGGCCCAGUGCACCCUGAAAAUGGCGACACGUUCCUUCUGGCAGUGCUCUUCAGCUUCCCUGCUCCCUCUGCUCCCCUGGGGUGGGCCUGGCCUGGUGCUACUCCGGCUCCUGGGCUCCACCUCCAGCGAUGCCCCGGGGCUAUAGGAGAGACCAGGAAUGCAGUGGGCCCAAAGAUGGCCCUCUCAGGAACCAUAGCCUGGGUGGCAUUUACCUUGCGCAGUUGGGGUCCGUGGCCAUUGGAGACCCCCAGCCCCUGGACCCUGAGAACUCUGCCCAAGUUCAGCAGUCACCCUGAGAAGCCUGUGCCCUGCUGCCCUUUUUGAUCUACAAGGUAGGGUCAACUCCAAUGCUGAGUCCUCUUCCUCCCAUUGCUCAGCCACUGAUGUCCGCAUCUCAGGCAUCUGGGUUUGGGUUAAAAUGGAAAUGAGACAUCACUUCUUGGAGACCAGGAUGCUAGAAGUCCCUUGGGGCAAGUAUGGGGGAAGUUGUGGUUUUUCCUGGGUCUUGGGUCAUUACUGAAGGGAACAAGGGGUCCCUGCCACAUGAUUUGCAACCUGGGGCCCCAGCCCUUUCUUCUGCAUUAGAAUCUCAGCAGGUCAAGUCUAGACACCAAGAUCCUAUCUGUGGGGGAAAGGUGGCUCCUGAGAUGAGUAGACAGGUGACCACUGACAGCCAUUCCAGGAACUUGGAUCCCAAGGACAGACACAGCGAGUCAACUGAUCUCCUGCACCUUCUGAAGCUUGGAGGUUUCUUCCUGCCUUGUCAAGGAGCUCCAGGACCCAAGCUUCAUCAGAAGUUGCUUGAUGUUGUCCCUGCUCUUGAGGGCUGGGGCAUGCUGGGUACAGCUUCCAGCCCAAGAAUCCAUCCACAAAGGAUUGAAGGUCCCAUAGUCCCCAACCCCCAGCAGGGGAGGCCUCUGUCCUGGGAGCCUGGCUAUGUCUGCUUUGUGCACUUUCCCUCCAUGCAGCUCUCUGGAGGGCAGGGACUCCUGAGACUCAACAUUUCUGAUGGAGCCCACAUUUCCUGGAGCCUGGCCCUUGCAAACAAGCAAGCAAACAAAAUCUUUGAUAUCUCCUUUCUGGUCUCCUCCUACCCGUCCUGUAUCCGGGAAGCUUCUGUAGCCCCUACCCUGACUCCCAGUUCUCCAUCUGAGGUUGUAGAGGGUGUGGCCUUUUGCAGCCCUCUUCACUUGGACUUUACUCAGUCCUCCAUUCUGUAGGAGAGGCCUGAGGAGUCAGGUCAGGAAAGACAGUGUAGAGUCAGAAGAAAGGCAGGCUUCCUGGUGCCUCUGUGAAUCUUUUCUGUUGUAAAUUCAACCCUUGGGGUGUCCUGAGGGGCCACUUGGAGUGAUGUGGUGGGUGGAACCUCCAGUGGUAGCCAGGACACCUGGAUUCAGGAGGGUGUUGCCCAGGUUGAAUUAUCCCUUUGCUUGUCCCUCCUGUCCCUUUGAACAUUCUUGUCUCCUGUUGCUCAUGCCAGAGUUGCUGAGUGAUCUGUAUUAGGCAGCUGUUGCUUUGUAACAAAACCACCUCCAAAACUGAGUUGCUUAAAACAACAGGCAGUACAAUCAUACUUCUGAGGGUGUGAAGAAUUGGAGAAUCUUUGCUGUCUACCAUUGGGAUCCAGAGAAGCGGCAGCCCCAGCUCAUCUAUAGAUUCGUCAUGGUUCCAAUAAACAUCCCAAGACAGUUUUGGUUUUUUGGUGGGGCGGGGGGCUUGACAAACUGCUCCAAAAAUGGACAUGGAACAGCAAAAAUCCAGGAAAAACCAAAAGAAAUUAAAUUAAGAAAAAAGGCCGGGGAUUUAGUUCAGUGGUUCCACCACCUGCCUCUCAAGUGCAAGGACCCAAGUUUGAUCCCAGUACCAAAAAAAUAAAAUAAAUUAAGAAUAAAAUAAGGAACAUUUGGAUGAUGGUAUCAAGAUUUAUUGUAAACUUCUAGUACAGCCAACAGUGAGGGCCACUGUUACUUCAUUACUUACCCUCAAUGCCCAAGCACGAGGGACUAAAUGCAACUACUUUAUGAUGCCACUUCUGUCUCACGGGUACCUGUGGGAUUUUAGUUUAGUGAGAACCCAGAGAAGUUAAGGCCUCUGUGAAAGAAGGUGCUGCUCAGUUCCCUGGAGAGGGAGG
rnacentral:lncRNA from 1 species